UACGAAGGGGGCUAGCGUUGUUCGGAAUUACUGGGCGUAAAGCGUGCGCAGGCGGCUUCUCAAGUCAGGGGUGAAAGCCCAGAGCUCAACUCUGGAAUUGCCUUUGAGACUGAGUGGCUUGAGUACGAGAGAGGUGAGUGGAAUUCCCAGUGUAGAGGUGAAAUUCGUAGAUAUUGGGAAGAACACCGGGUGGCGAAGGCGGGUCUCUGGGCCGUUACUGGACGCUGAGGAGCGAAAGCGUGGGGGAGCGAACAGG
rnacentral:rRNA from 1 species